AUGGCGGAACUACUAGUUCGAUUUACUUGGCUUGGACCCGAGGAGGAUGAAUGGGUUGAUGUUCAGAAAUGUGUGAGACUGCGUUCUCUUCAAUGUGUUGCGGUGCUGCCUGGGGAUCUCAUUCUUUGUUUUAAGGAAGGCAAAGACCAGGCCCAGUAUUUUGAUGCGCAUGUUCUUCAAGUUCAAAGGCGCACGCAUGACGUAAGGGGGUGCCGCUGCAGAUUUCUUGUUUGUUAUGAUCAUGAUCGCUCUGAGGGCUGUUUGCCUGAUAAUAGAAAUGGAUUUUGGACUUCAUACUCUAAUCCAUGA
rnacentral:rRNA from 1 species